rnacentral:lncRNA from 1 species
GCAAAAGCAUUUUUAUUUUUCUUUUUCUAGUUUCAUAGUUUAUUCUUCUUUUACUCAUAGCCGAGAGGUUUGUUAAUUUAUGAAUCUUUCAGUGCAAUUUGAUUUUCUAAUUUUUUUUAAGAAUUCGAUUUUGUAAUUCACGUUUUCUAUUAUUGUCCUCUUUCUCUUGAAACAUAUAUUUUCUCUCUGUAAUUUUUUCAUGUCGAUCUUAUAUGGUUUUUUAUGUUUAAAAAUUAAACUUGGGUUAUCUGAUGGUUUCAAAAUCAGAUUUUAAUUUCUGACUCUGCUUAUAUUUUAUUUUGAAAAUAAAUUUCAUAAUAAAGUCCAAAAAUCAUAAUUUGUUUCUUUUUUUAAUAUCCUUGUUACUGUAAAAUUUUAAAUGGUAAAACAACAUAUUUAUCUCAACACACAAAUUUAUUUUAAACAUAUCUAAUAAUAAUAAUAUUAUUAUUUUCUAAUUUAUAUUUCAAUUAUUAAAAUAUAUAAUUUGGAUUAAAAAUGUCAAUUUAUAUUUACUAAAGUGUAAUUAAAAGAUAGAAUGUGUAGUUUUAAA